rnacentral:other from 1 species
ACCUACCUACCCUGUCAGUGAUUAGGUGGGAAAUGUUGAUCUCGCAAAUUAGAUUUUAAGGGAGCCGGAGUAAGUUGUACGGUGUGCAUGUCUCCCACACGGGAGAAAGCCUAAGUCCUCUUCAAGGCACCCACCUUUCCUCGGAAGGGAUCUAAUUUUCAUCUACACGGCAGGGUGGGUAUUUU